ACGGCUCAGUAACACGUGGCUAAUCUGCCCUUGGGACCGGAAUACCCCCGGGAAACUGGGGCUAAUUCUCGAUAGGUGAAGAACUCUGGAAUGAGUCUUUGCCAAAAAGUUGUCAGGGUUAUGCUCUCUGAUAACGCCCAAGGAUGAGGCCGCGACCGAUCAGGUUGUUGGUGAGGUAAUGGCUCACCAAGCCUUUUACCGGUGCGGGCCGUGAGAGCGGGAGCCCGGAGAUGGGCACUGAGACAAGGGCCCAGGCCCUACGGGGCGCAGCAGUCGCGAAAACUUUGCAAUACACGAAAGUGUGACAGGGCUAUCCCGAGUGCCAUCCGCUGAGGAAGGCUUUUACCCAGUCUAGAACGCUGGGGGAAUAAGGAGAGGGCAAGUCUGGUGUCAGCCGCCGCGGUAAUACCAGCUCUCCGAGUGGUGUGGAUGUUUAUUGGGCCUAAAGCAUCCGUAGCUGGCUAAGUUAGUCCCUUGUUAAAUCCACCGAAUUAAUCGUUGGAUUGCGGGGGAUACUGCUUGGCUAGGGGACGAGAGAGGCAGACGGUAUUUCCGGGGUAGGGGUGAAAUCCUAUAAUCCCGGGAAGACCACCAGUGGCGAAGGCUGUCUGCUAGAACGCGCCCGACGGUGAGGGAUGAAAGCUGGGGGAGCGAACCGGAUUAGAUACCCGGGUAGUCCCAGCUGUAAACGAUGCAGGCUAGGUGUUUGGACGGCCACGUGCCGUUCUAGUGCCGCAGGGAAGCUGUUAAGCCUGCCGCCUGGGGAGUACGAUCGCAAGAUUGAAACUUAAAGGAAUUGGCGGGGGAGCAC
rnacentral:rRNA from 1 species